UACGGAGGGUGCGAGCGUUGUCCGGAAUCACUGGGCGUAAAGGGCGCGUAGGCGGCAUGCCAAGCGUGUGGUGAAAGCCCGGGGCUCAACCCCGGGUCGGCCGUGCGGACUGGCGUGCUCGAGCACUGUAGGGGCGGGUGGAAUUCCGGGUGUAGCGGUGGAAUGCGUAGAGAUCCGGAAGAACACCGGUGGCGAAGGCGGCUCACUGGCCCGGUACUGACGCUGAGGUGCGAAAGCGUGGGGAGCAAACAGG
rnacentral:rRNA from 1 species